rnacentral:tRNA from 1 species
GCAUUGGUGGUUCAGUGGUAAAAUCAUUGCCUUCCAUGCAGGAGACCCUGGUUUGAUUCUCAGCCAAUGUA